rnacentral:rRNA from 1 species
AGAGUUUGAUCCUGGCUCAGAUUGAACGCUGGCGGCAUGCCUUACACAUGCAAGUCGAACGGCAGCACGGGAGCAAUCCUGGUGGCGAGUGGCGAACGGGUGAGUAAUACAUCGGAACGUGCCCAGUCGUGGGGGAUAACGUAGCGAAAGCUACGCUAAUACCGCAUACGAUCUGUGGAUGAAAGCGGGGGACCGUAAGGCCUCGCGCGAUUGGAGCGGCCGAUGUCAGAUUAGGUAGUUGGUGGGGUAAAGGCCUACCAAGCCGACGAUCUGUAGCUGGUCUGAAAGGACGACCAGCCACACUGGGACUGAGACACGGCCCACACUCCUACGGGAGGCAGCAGUGGGGAAUUUUGGACAAUGGGCGCAAGCCUGAUCCAGCAAUGCCGCGUGCAGGAUGAAGGCCUUCGGGUUGUAAACUGCUUUUGUACGGAACGAAACGGCUCUUUCUAAUAAAGAGGGCUAAUGACGGUACCGUAAGAAUAAGCACCGGCUAACUACGUGCCAGCAGCCGCGGUAAUACGUAGGGUGCAAGCGUUAAUCGGAAUUACUGGGCGUAAAGCGUGCGCAGGCGGUUAUGUAAGACAGAUGUGAAAUCCCCGGGCUCAACCUGAGACCUGCAUUUGUGACUGCAUAGCUGGAGUACGGUAGAGGGGGAUGGAAUUCCGCGUGUAGCAGUGAAAUGCGUAGAUAUGCGGAGGACACCGAUGGCGACGCAAUCCCCUGCACCUGUACUGACGCUCAUGCACGAAAGCGUGGAGAGCAAACAGGAUUAGAUACCCUAUUAGUCCACGCCCUAAACGAUGUCAGCUGGUUGUCGCUCUUCACUGACUCAGUAACGAAGCUAACGCGUGAGUCGACCGCCUGGGGGAGUACGCCGCUAAGAUGAUCUCAAUUAAUUGGACGGCACCGCACAUCCGUGAUGAUGUGGUCUAAUUCGAAGCCCACCGCCCAAUAAAAUCCGGUAC